CCUGGCAGCAAUAGCACGUUAAAUGCAUCAGUUCCCGUCAGAUCACUUAAGUAACGUUAUGCGUGGUUGGUAUCUGGACGGGUGACCGUCUGUGAUAACACGUGCUGCUGGUU
rfam:Asian citrus Psyllid, Diaphorina citri - Florida Strain, whole genome shotgun sequence.